CAAUGAUGGAGAUCUCGAUUGUCUGACUGCCAUCCGAACAAAAUACGAUAAGGAUGCACAGAGUGGUGAUUACGUCUGGCUUCUCAAGGGCCUGAAGGGCCACGUGAAAAAGAACAUCACAUAUCACUUCAAGAAAGGAGACGCGCCGGACAAGGCAUUCAUCACUGUCGACGAUGACCCUCAAAGCCAGGUAGCAAGAGCCUUCUACGCCGACUUCCAGACGUGCGCCGUGUUGGACAUUCCAUAUAAUGGGAAGCCGG